AGUUGUCCUGAUGGACAGACUUUGGUCAAAGGAAAUGUUACCAGUGACAGUACAUGCACAUAUUUAGAAGAACCUACACCAAAACUCUUACCUACUGGGGCAAAAGAUGAAAAUGAACAGACAAACUGGCUUCCAGCUUUCAUUGCUGCAGGGAUGGCAGGUUUGGCUGUCCUUUUUAUCAUAGCAUCUGUGGUUGCAUACGUAAAGGCACAAAACAAAACAGAGAAGAAGCCAAAAACCGAUACCCCUGACCAAGACCACUCAGACGAGUCCAGGAUAAUGGUUGUUGAGCAGGAAGACUGUAGUUUUCGUCAUCCUGAGCAGGAACAGGGCGGCAGCUCAGAAUCCAUCAAUACGCAAGACUCAGAGUCUAAACUCAUAGUGUGAGUUUACUGGACAGUAUUUAUUUUUUUUAUCUGACUUUAGCAUUGCUACAGGAACAAGAGGACAAAACCUCUGAACAUCUACUAAACUGUGAAAUACAUACUUGACUGGGCGUCGAUCAGCCAUUCCAGUUGGUGUAUCAGUGAUUAAUUUGAACAAAAUUAGUUACAUUUGUUCUGAAGAACAAACUGAACUUUCACGUCGGAGUUUCUGAAGUGUGGUGCACCUUAAUAACACAAAGAUGAGAGGUUGUUAAUGUAGGUGUGCAGUAGCAGACAGCAUGUCAACACUUUUAUGAGAGUAGGCGUCAUCUACUGGUGCUUGUCACAUUUUCAGGUCAAAGCACUCUUGAAAUACCCUGGUGGGCUUCCCCACUUUUUCUAAAAGAGCACCAUUUAAAAAAAAAAAAAAAGAUAUUUGGAUCAAGAACAAAGAGGAUUGUUUUAAAUGGAAUGUUUGCACUUUAACCAUUUUUAUUUAAAAAUAGUUCUUUGUCCAGUUUUUAUUUCAAUUUUUUUUUAUUGUCUGGAAAUCAGCAGAGAGCACGGAGUAGUUUUUUGGUAGCUAAAUGUGGUUGACCGUAUCAUGUAGAAAGUGAACUGCUGAAACUAAACAUUUGACCUCAGGAUGUUUUGGUGCAUUUUACUGUUUUGUACAUUAGGAUUUAAAAAUAAGUAAAAUUGCCAACUCUUGCCUUUCUAAGCCCUGGGUCAACAAAAUUAUGACUUACUGUUCAUUCAUUCACAAUUCCUUCUUUACUUGGGGUUAGGAAUUUACCCUGGACAUUUAGGUUUCGACUCAAGGUUUCACAUGCUACAUUUGUAAAUCCUGGGUUAAAAUUCUUAUUUGCAUAGUCAAUAUCAUUGGAUGAACUGCUUAAAUUAAAGCUUGUCUCGCUCAUACGCAGCAGUUGGGCUUAUAUAUUCCUGGCUGUACCAUCCGG